rnacentral:rRNA from 1 species
AGUGAACGCUGGCGGCAGGCCUAACACAUGCAAGUCGAACGGCAGCGCGGGCAUCGCCCUGUCGGCGAGGGGCGAAGGGGCGGGCAAGGGAGCGGAACGUGCGCAGCUGCGGGGGAGAGGGGGGUGAAAGAGGGAAUAAUACGGCAAAACACCAGACGGCGUAAGGGGGGGAGCGAAAGGCCUUGGGCCAUUGGAGGAGCGGAUGUCGGAUUAGCUAGUUGGCGGGGUAAAGGCGUACCAAGGCGACGAUCCGUAGCUGGUCUGAGAGGAUGACCAGCCACACUGGAACUGAGACACGGCCCAGACUCCUACGGGAGGCAGCAGUGGGGAAUUUUGGACAAUGGGCGCAAGCCUGAUCCAGCUAUGCCGCGUGCGUGAAGAAGGCCUUCGGGUUGUAAACCGCUUUUGUUGGGGAAGAAAAGCACCAGGCUAAUACCCCGGGGUGAUGACGGUACCGAAAGAAUAAGCACCGGCUAACUUCGUG